AACGCUGGCGGUGCGCCUUAUGCAUGCAAGUCGAGCGAAGCUUUUCAGUAGUUUACUACAGAAAAUGACUGAGCGGCGAACGGGUGAGUAACGCGUGAGCAACCUACCUUAGUUACUGGGAUAGCCCGAGGAAACUCGGAUUAAUACCGGAUAUUCUUAUUAAAUCACAUGAUUUUUUAAGGAAAGGUCAGCCGAACUAAGAUGGGCUCGCGUUCUAUCAGCUAGUUGGUAGGGUAAUGGCCUACCAAGGCUACGACGGAUAGCUGGUCUGAGAGGACGAUCAGCCACACUGGGACUGAGACACGGCCCAGACUCCUACGGGAGGCUGCAGCAGGGAAUAUUGCGCAAUGAGCGAAAGCUUGACGCAGCGACACCGCGUGUGGGAUGACGGAUCUAGGUUUGUAAACCACUUUCAGGAGGGAAGAAAAUGACGGUACCUCCACAAGAAGCCCCGGCCAACUACG
rnacentral:rRNA from 1 species